rnacentral:rRNA from 1 species
UACGUAGGGGGCUAGCGUUGUUCGGAAUUACUGGGCGUAAAGCGCACGUAGGCGGCUUUGUAAGUUAGAGGUGAAAGCCCAGGGCUUAACCCUGGAAUUGCCUUUAAGACUGCAUCGCUAGAAUCGUGGAGAGGUAAGUGGAAUUCCGAGUGUAGAGGUGAAAUUCGUAGAUAUUCGGAAGAACACCAGUGGCGAAGGCGACUUACUGGACACGUAUUGACGCUGAGGUGCGAAAGCGUGGGGAGCAAACAGG